rnacentral:rRNA from 1 species
UUAAGAUACUAAGAGCAUACGGUGGAUGCCUUGGCGAUAUCUGCCGACGAAGGACGUGACAAGCUGCGAAAAGCUGCGGAGAGAUGCAAAUAAUCGGCGACCCGCAGACAUCCGAAUGGAGAAAUCCGGCUGUGAUGAUGCACAGCCAUCCAUGCCCAAGAGCAUGAGAAGGGAACCGGGCGAACUGAAACAUCUAAGUAACCCGAGGAAAAGAAAUCAAACGAGAUACCCCAAGUAGCGGCGAGCGAACAGGGAAGAAGCCCAAACCGGUGAAGGAAACUUUACCGGGGUUGAGGACCAUCAGACCCGCGAAGAACUUUAGCCGAAACUGUUGGGAAACAGUGCCGAAGACAGUGAAAGCCUGGUAGGCGAAAAAGAGAAACGCGGAGAUGGCACCAGAGUACCGCGGGACACGAGAAAUCCCGUGGGAAGCAGGGGGGACCACCCUCCAAGGCAAAACACAGAUAUCGACCGAUAGCGCAUAGUACCAUGAGGGAAAGGUGAAAAGCACCCCGGGAGGGGAAUGAAAGAGAACCUGAAACCGUAUGUUUACAAGCAGUCGGAGACCGCUUAAUAAUAAGGUCGACGGCGUGCCUAUUGAAGAAUGAACCGGCGAGUUACGAAGCCUGGCAAGGUUAAGCAGGAAAUGCGGAGCCGAAGCGAAAGCGAGUCUUAAGAGGGCGCAAGUCAGGAAGCGUAGACCCGAAACCACAGUGAUCUACCCAUGUCCAGGUUGAAACACAGGUAAAAAUGUGUGGAGGACCGAACCUAUAUCCGUUGAAAAGGGUUAGGAUGAGGUGUGGGUAGGGGUGAAAUUCCAAUCGAACGUGGAGAUAGCUGGUUCUCCCCGAAAUAGCUUUAGGGCUAGCCUCAGGGAAAAGAUUGCAGGCGGUAGAGCACUGAUCAGGAGAGGGACCUACCCGGUUACCAAACCCAGUCAAACUCCGAAUGGCUGCAAUCAUACCUGGGAGUCAGACUGCGACUAAUAAGGGCCGUAGUCAAAAGGGAAACAGCCCAGACCAUCAGCUAAGGUCCCCAAUGCCGUGCUAAGUGGCAAAGGAUGUGGCAUUUCAUAAACAACCAGGAUGUUGGCUCAGAAGCAGCCACCAUUUAAAGAGUGCGUAAUAGCUCACUGGUCGAGAGACGCUGCGCCGAAAAUGUCCGGGGCUCAAGCACGGAACCGAAGCUAUGGCAUGAUAGCAAUAUCAUGGGUAGGGGAGCGUUCUUAUAAGGAAGAAGCAUGACCGGAAGGACAUGUGGACGAAUAAGAAGUGAGAAUGCCGGUAUGAGUAUCGAAAAGAAAGGUGAGAAUCCUUUCCACCGAAAGCCCGAGGGUUCCUGAGCAACGAUCGUCGACUCAGGGUAAGUCGGGACCUAAGCCGAGGCGAGAAGCGUAGGCGAUGGACAACAGGUUGAAAUUCCUGUACCGGAUCAAGUCGAUCGAGCGAAGGAGCGACGCAGGAGGGCACAUGAUCGCGCGGCUGGAAGAGCGCGUCCAAGUGCGUAUGUUGCUGCAGAGGAAAACCCCUGCAGCUGAAAGCAGAGACAUGAAGGGGAGUUAAAGGAAACUUUGACGAACUCAUGAAUCCCACACUGCCAAGAAAAACUUCUAGCGAGACAAGAUCCGCCCGUACCGUAAACCGACACAGGUAGGCGGGGAGAGAAUCCUAAGGUGCGCGGGAAAACCCUCGUUAAGGAACUCGGCAAAUUGCAUCCGUAACCUAGGGAGAAGGAUGGCCCCCGGUCAGUGAAGAGCAGAAACGCUCAGAGCUAAAAGGGGCGGCAGAAAAGAGGCCCAAGCAACUGUUUACCAAAAACACAGGUGCCUGCGAAAGCGAAAGCUGAAGUAUAGGUGCUGACGCCUGCCCGGUGCCGGAAGGUUAAGGAGAGAAGUUAGCGAAAGCGAAGCAUCGAACUGAAGCCCCGGUGAACGGCGGCCGUAACUAUAACGGUCCUAAGGUAGCGAAAUUCCUUGUCGGGUAAG